GCUGCUCAGUGAUGAGGCAUGGAACAAACCCUGAGCGGUAUCUGACACCCAUGGGGAGCGGGCUCUGCGGGGCAUCGCUUCUGGGAGCAGC
rfam:Egretta garzetta contig10320, whole genome shotgun sequence.